rnacentral:rRNA from 1 species
GAUGAACGCUAGCUACAGGCUUAACACAUGCAAGUCGAGGGACCGGCGCACGGGUGAGUAACACGUAUCCAACCUGCCCUUUACUCGGGGAUAGCCUUUCGAAAUAAAGAUUAAUACCCGAUAUAAAGGAUGGGGAUGCGUUCCAUUAGGUUGUUGGUGAGGUAACGGCUCACCAAGCCUUCGAUGGAUAGGGGUUGUGAGAGGAAGGCACCCCACAUUGGAACGAAGACACGGUCCAAACUCGUAGGUGAGGCAGGAGUGAGGAAUAGUGGUGAAUGGGCGCUAACCUGAACAAGCCAAGUAGAGUGAAGGAUGAAGGCUUAUGGGUCGUAAACUUGUGUGAUAUAAGGAGAUGUAUUAGAUGAAGAAGGAUCGGCUAACUCCGUGCCAGCAGCCGCGGUAAUAC